rnacentral:rRNA from 1 species
AGUGAACGCUGGCGGUAGGCCUAACACAUGCAAGUCGAACGGCAGCACAGUAAGAGCUUGCUCUUACGGGUGGCGAGUGGCGGACGGGUGAGGAAUACAUCGGAAUCUACUUUUUCGUGGGGGAUAACGUAGGGAAACUGACGCUAAUACCGCAUAUGACCUACGGGAGAAAGCAGUGGAGCUUCGGACCUUGCGCGAUUGAAUGAGCCGAUGUCGGAUUAGCUAGUUGGCGGGGUAAAGGCCCACCAAGGCGACGAUCCGUAGCUGAUCUGAGAGGAUGAUCAGCCACACUGGAACUGAGACACGGUCCAGACUCCUACGGGAGGCAGCAGUGGGGAAUAUUGGACAAAGGGCGCAAGCCUGAUCCAGCCAUACCGCGUGGGUGAAGAAGGCCUUCGGGUUGUAAAGCCCUUUUGUUGGGAAAGAAAAGCAGCAGGUUAAUACCCCGCUGUUCUGACGGUACCCAAAGAAUAAGCACCGGCUAACUUCGUG